rnacentral:rRNA from 1 species
AGAACUUGAAACCGUGUGCUUACAAGUAGUCAGAGCCCGUUAAUGGGUGAUGGCGUGCCUUUUGUAGAAUGAACCGGCGAGUUACGAUCUGAUGCAAGGUUAAGCAGAAAAUGUGGAGCCGUAGCGAAAGCGAGUCUGAAUAGGGCGAAUGAGUAUUUGGUCGUAGACCCGAAACCAGGUGAUCUACCCUUGGUCAGGUUGAAGUUCAGGUAACACUGAAUGGAGGACCGAACCGACUUACGUUGAAAAGUGAGCGGAUGAACUGAGGGUAGCGGAGAAAUUCCAAUCGAACUUGGAGAUAGCUGGUUCUCUCCGAAAUAGCUUUAGGGCUAGCCUCAAGUGAUGAUUAUUGGAGGUAGAGCACUGUUUGGACGAGGGGCCCCUCUCGGGUUACCGAAUUCAGACAAACUCCGAAUGCCAAAUAAUUUAACUUGGGAGUCAGAAUGUGGGUGAUAAGGUCCAUAUUCGAAAGGGAAACAGCCCAGACCACCAGCUAAGGUCCCAAAAUAUAUGUUAAGUGGAAAAGGAUGUGGCGUUGCCCAGACAACUAGGAUGUUGGCUUAGAAGCAGCCAUCAUUUAAAGAGUGCGUAAUAGCUCACUAGUCGAGUGACACUGCGCCGAAAAUGUACCGGGGCUAAACAUAUUACCGAAGCUGUGGAUUGUCCUUUGGACAAUGGUAGGAGAGCGUUCUAAGGGCGUUGAAGCAUGAUCGCAAGGACAUGUGGAGCGCUUAGAAGUGAGAAUGCCGGUGUGAGUAGCGAAAGACGGGUGAGAAUCCCGUCCACCGAUUGACUAAGGUUUCCAGAGGAAGGCUCGUCCGCUCUGGGUUAGUCGGGUCCUAAGCUGAGGCCGACAGGCGUAGGCGAUGGAUAACAGGUUGAUAUUCCUGUACCACCAUUAUUCGUUUUAAGCGAUGGGGGGACGCAGUAGGAUAGGCGAAGCGUGCUGUUGGAGUGCACGUCCAAGCAGUGAGAUUGAGUGUUAGGCAAAUCCGGCACUCUUAAGAUUGAGCUGUGAUGGGGAGAGGAACUUGUUCCUCGAGUCGUUGAUUUCACACUGCCGAGAAAAGCCUCUAGCUAGAAUAACGGUGCCCGUACCGCAAACCGACACAGGUAGUCAAGAUGAGAAUUCUAAGGUGAGCGAGCGAACUCUCGUUAAGGAACUCGGCAAAAUGACCCCGUAACUUCGGGAGAAGGGGUGCUCUUUGAGGUUCACGCUUCGAAGAGCCGCAGUGAAUAGGCCCAAGCGACUGUUUAUCAAAAACACAGGUCUCUGCUAAACCGUAAGGUGACGUAUAGGGGCUGACGCCUGCCCGGUGCUGGAAGGUUAAGAGGAGUGGUUAGCGCAAGCGAAGCUACGAAUCGAAGCCCCAGUAAACGGCGGCCGUAACUAUAACGGUCCUAAGGUAGCGAAAUUCCUUGUCGGGUAAGUUCCGACCCGCACGAAAGGCGUAACGAUUUGGGCACUGUCUCAACGAGAGACUCGGUGAAAUCAUAGUACCGGUGAAGAUGCCGGUUACCCGCGACAGGACGGAAAGACCCCGUGGAGCUUUACUGUAGCCUGAUAUUGAAAUUCGGUACAGUUUGUACAGGAUAGGUAGGAGCCUUAGAAGCGUGAGCGCUAGCUUACGUGGAGGCAUUGGUGGGAUACUACCCUAAUUGUAUUGGAUUUCUAACCCGCAGCACUUAUCGUGCUGGGAGACAGUGUCAGGCGGGCAGUUUGACUGGGGCGGUCGCCUCCUAAAGAGUAACGGAGGCGCUCAAAGGUUCCCUCAGAAUGGUUGGAAAUCAUUCAUAGAGUGUAAAGGCAUAAGGGAGCUUGACUGCGAGACCUACAAGUCGAGCAGGGUCGAAAGACGGACUUAGUGAUCCGGUGGUUCCGCAUGGAAGGGCCAUCGCUCAACGGAUAAAAGCUACCCCGGGGAUAACAGGCUUAUCUCCCCCAAGAGUUCACAUCGACGGGGAGGUUUGGCACCUCGAUGUCGGCUCAUCGCAUCCUGGGGCUGUAGUCGGUCCCAAGGGUUGGGCUGUUCGCCCAUUAAAGCGGUACGCGAGCUGGGUUCAGAACGUCGUGAGACAGUUCGGUCCCUAUCCGUCGUGGGCGUAGGAAAUUUGAGAGGAGCUGUCCUUAGUACGAGAGGACCGGGAUGGACAUACCUCUGGUGUACCAGUUGUCGUGCCAACGGCAUAGCUGGGUAGCUAUGUAUGGACGGGAUAAGUGCUGAAAGCAUCUAAGCAUGAAGCCCCCCUCGAGAUGAGAUUUCCCAACUUCGGUUAUAAGAUCCCUCAAAGAUGAUGAGGUGAAUAGGUUCGAGGUGGAAGCGUAGCGAUACGUGGAGCUGACGAAUACUA